rnacentral:rRNA from 1 species
GACGAACGCUGGCGGCGUGCUUAACACAUGCAAGUCGAGCGGUAAGGCUCCUUCGGGAGUACACGAGCGGCGAACGGGUGAGUAACACGUGAGCAAUCUGCCCUUCACACGGGGAUAACCCUCGGAAACGAGAGCUAAUACACGAUACGACCACUUCAGGCAUCUUAUGGUGGUGGAAAGUUCUGGCGGUGAAGGAUGAGCUCGCGGCCUAUCAGCUUGUUGGUGGGGUAACGGCCCACCAAGGCAACGACGGGUAGCCGGCCUGAGAGGGUGACCGGCCACACUGGGACUGAGACACGGCCCAGACUCCUACGGGAGGCAGCAGUGGGGAAUAUUGGACAAUGGGCGAAAGCCUGAUCCAGCAACGCCGCGUGAGGGAUGACGGCCUUCGUGUUGUAAACCUCUUUCAGCAGGGACGAAGCGCAAGUGACGGUACCUGCAGAAGAAGCACCGGCCAACUACGUGCCAGCCGCCGCAGUAAGAC